CAUGCCAUGGGCAUGACCAAAAAAAAAAAAANAAAAAAAAAAAAAAAUGGAAAAUCACAGUACCAUACCCACCUUAGCUCAUGUAAAUGGGUGCAAAACGCCACAGGAAUUUUCUUUGUCCAAUUUUGACAUAUUUCAAAUACACAGAAAAAUACAAGGUGUAAUAUAACAAAAGCCUGCGUCUACUCCAAGGAAUAGCAAAUGUUAACGUUCUGCCACAUUCAUAUCAGAUUCGUGGAAUAAACUUUACAAAUUCGGCAAAGUCCCCUCUGCACCCCUUUUCCUUCCUCCAGCACUGACACGCCCCUCCUGAAAUGGAUGGAUGUUCUUUUCAUACAUGUGGUCCUACUUUACUUCAUAUGAAUUACUCAUAAAUUAUACCUCACAAGGCUUUGAGUGCCUCUUAAUUCACAUAAGUAUUGUCACACCGAACCUAGCAUUCUGGAAAUUGCAUUUUUUUUUUUCCACCUAACAUUAUGUUUCCAGGAUCUACUCAUGCUGAUGGGGGGAGAUCUAGUGCCCUCAUUUUAACUGAUGAAUAACCUUAAACUUUGCAGAUAGACCACAGUUCAUUCACUCACCUACUCUUGGGCAUUCAAGUUUGUUUCCAAUUUUUCACUGUCACAAAUGAUUCUGCAGUGAACAGAUUUGAACUUAUUCCUCCAGGGCACAUCCCUAGAAAUGGUGCUGCCACCCUUGAGAGCGUGCCUUCCCAGUGGUACUCGUGUUGCUGAAUUGCUCAGUAGCUUGGCUGAAGCUACUUCCACAGGUGUGGAUGUGAUAUGCCCUGGAAUAGUCACACUUCCACAGGUGUGGAUGUGAUAUGCCCUGGAAUAGUCUUUAUGCGGAUGCUCUGGGAGUGAGUUCUUUUCCAAACAUAAGACCAGUUCUAAGGGAUUUCCCUAGUUCAUUCCUGAUCUUUCUUUUCCUAACUCUCGUCUCCAUUUAAGACUUUAAGUCUUUUUUUCUAAAUUUAUUUAUUUAUUUAUUUCCUUUUUAUUUAUUUAUUUAUUUUUCCUGCUCUACAGCUUGGGGACCAAGUUACACAUACAUGUAUACAUACUUUUUCCUCCCAUUGUUGUGUUUCAAUGUAAGUAUCAAGACAUAGUUCCCAAGACUACAUGGCAGGAUCUCAUUGUAAAUCCAUCUCUUAAAGUCUUAAAUUCUCCAGCCAUUAAGUCUUCUCCCAAUAGGGUGUUCCGGAAUCUGAACCUAGUGGCCCAGAAGGAACGCCCAGUAUGUGUGUUAUAAGGUGGAGUGAUGUGUGUGUCUGCAGGUUUGUACCAGAGCCAGCAGUAAGGACUGGAAAGGGCAAGACUUUGCACGACGUCUUUUCAACAAUCCAGCGAAACCAGGAGAGGGAGUUCCAGUUGUGGCUCAGUGGUAACGAACCGGACUAGUACCCAUGAGGAUGCAAGUUUGAUCCUUGGCCCCAUUCAGUGGGUUAAGGAUCUGGUGUUCCCAUGAGUGGUGUGGGUCGCAGAUGUGGCUGGGAUCCCGAGUUGCUGUGGCUCUGGUGUAGGCCAGUGGCUACUGCUCUGAUUAGACCCCUAGCCUGGGAACCUCCAUAUGCCAUGAGUGGGGCCCUAAAAAGCAAAAAAUGAAACAAAACAAAACAAAAACCAAACCAAAACAAACGAACAGAACAGGAGAGAAGGGGGUACCUGCUGUGACCCAGAAUCCCUCUCAUGCUGUGGUCCUCUUCCUCCACCUCUUAUGUGGUGUGGGUUAAGGGGAGAAUUGUCACAGGAUAUCACCCUACUGUCCCAUCUUCCCUGUGCUCCUAUCCCCACCCAACUCCAAAUACUUCUCUAAGCCACUCAAACCCACAGGAGUAGGAAAGGGGUGCGUUGUUUGGGGGAGGGGCAGUCCCACGUGCCCCAUCUGGGGGAAAGGGCUGACUUUUUGGACCUGAGCCUAAGCGCUUUCUGUCCAUGCCAAGGGCUGCCUCCUGCAUCUGGGCCUGUGGGGUUAGAAGAGCUGCCAAAAUCCUGAACUGGGCAAUGACAGUGGACAGCCUAGAUCUUGGCCACUGACUCUGCCUCAGCCCUAGGGUCAUUCGGGACGUCUCUGGAGUUCCUUCCCCCCGCCAGGCCCUGGAACAGCCAUCCAGGCUCUGAAGUAGACUUGAGAAAGGCAUAAAGAAACCCCACAAGUCCCCUGUUUCAACCUAAAAGCCCUUCCAGGGGCAGGAACCCCAAGUGAGUGAAAAAGUACAAUUCACCAUUAAGCGGGAGUGUGGAGAAUCCGAUCCAGGGCUGUUUCUGGAUGGGACUUGCCCCCAACACUUGCAGUGCAGCCAACAGGAGUUGUUUGUUUGCAGGUGGUAUUUGUCCUUAAAAGACGAAGCCUGAAACCCUUUGCCUCCUUGUUCCAGAGAUCCAUUCGGCCCUAAACAGCCAGCCUUCCUUCCAGGAUUGCCUGUAGCCCUGAGCAACAGGUGGCUUAUUUCAGGCUGAAGGACAAGAGGCCUACUACCCCUGUGCCAAGGACGUCCCGCGGGGUCCUCACCUUUGAGCCCCGCCCACCAACCAAUGAGGACUCACAGAGGUGACGUCACUACAUCCUGUUUCCCAGCCCAGCCGGGAGCAUGGGACCCGGUGGGGAAAAGAGCCAAUGUAAAUGACGGAUGCCACGACCAUGUUGGUAAAGACGUGGAAGGCAAAUGAGUCAGCAGCAAGUUUAAGCAACGAACAAUUGCACCACGGGGUGUUUCUCAAAUUCUUGUCUACUUUUAGAAAGUAUGCAAUGCCAUCCGGUUGAGCGUCUUGGUUCUGAAAUAGCUACAGAAAAUGUUAAAAAUGCUGUGGGUGAAGAUGUGCCCACAUGUAUCGCUCUUCUAAAACAAUAGUUAACAAUGGCACAGCGUGUCCUCGGCACAUCUUUUCAUCUUGCUGUACCUUAGUUUCCUCACCCGGAACAUGAGCGGAAUGUGUGCACAUUGUCUUGGGAGAUUCCUUUCGGUCUGACGGUCCAUGUUAUGGUAUCAUGCUCACAGUCUUAAUACUCAGACUGGGUCUACACAGUGCCAAGACCACUAGCCAGUUCAGUGAGUGUGGACAAAAUGUUCUCUCCAAUCAAUUCCUUGGCACCAUGUGGCUAAAACAGCCAGGCCUAUGUGUGACUAGAGAUGGUGGGAGUAUAAGAAAAAGGACAACUCAUUAUUGAUGUUUCAGAUGCCGUCAUGUUAUGGAUGACACUGGCAGGGACCCCAAGGGAGCCUGUUUACCAAGAUAUACAUGGCUUCUUGCAAAGCCAUUCUUUUUGUUGGAAAAACUCUUCCAGGGAUAAUGUCAGUUUCAUAUAUGGGAAGAACAUAGCCCUCUGGAACCCUAGACAGCCAUGAGGACUCAAAAAAAAACCAAUGUUGAUAGAAACGUUGACCAGGAUGAGACCUAUCUCUGCUGGAGAACGUUGGGCAUCUUAAUAGAUAAGAUAAUGAAGCGAAGCCUUAACAGCAAACACUCAUUAAACUUUAACGAUUUCUAUCUACCCUCGUCCCACAAGCAGCUUCCACACAUGCCUCUGCGCAGCUGUGGCCUCAGGACUGAGGCGCAGUGUAGACCGUGUUCAUCGGAACGGCGUUGGAUGACUUUAUUGACCAACUCGGCUCAGCUUUUCUAAGGGGAAAAGCUCUGUUCGUACCAAAGGCUUCUCCAGGCCCUUCCCCAACACCUCUGAUUAAACAGGCUGAGCUCCCCAGAGAACAAUCCGCACCAGGAUGCAGCGAAGCCCAGCAGUGGUCUUUCCUGAUGCUCUGGUCCUCCUCGCCCUGCCCGCUGACGGAUGACUCCGCUCCGUGACUUUACUGAACUCCAGUUCGCCCACCUCCCCACACUCGUGUCCUCAGCUGUAAGCAGGCGCACUUGUGACCUGGGAGAGAACCCAAACCAACACCGACCCUGACCCCUGACAGGAGUGUUAGACUCGCAGCAGAGUCAGAUGGGAGCUGCAGGGCAAGGCUCCCCUUACAUGUGGUCUGAACCCAGGGGAGUUCACCUCGCUGAGUUAAACUCGAUGCGCUGUGACUGCCGGGCCAUGGUGCUUCGUAUCUGACUCCCAAGGGACUCUUCCUCAAGUGACUGCAAGCUCCUUGGGCACUUUUCUAUUUUGGCAUCCCCUGGGAUCAUGCAGAGCACAGAGGGAUGCUCAGGCAGAAAGCACCUUGUGUCUCUGUGUCACCUUUUGGUUAAAAGGACUUUAAAAGUCAUGUUCUGGGAUGGCCUGCUUUGUACCUACCAGAGAGCAGGGUUUGCAGAGUCAGGCAACUUUAGGGGUCUGCUUACACUCUAACCUGAUCAGGGACCUGGUUGCUAAGCGACCUUUCAAUGGAGAUUAGUGAUAACAAACUCAGCAAAGAGCUGAGGCUUGAGAAAGGAAUUCAGGUGAUGAAAAUUCUCCUGCUGAUUCAGAAAAAGGCAGUCGCAAGUUUUGAACCUCCUGGAAACCUCAUACCGCUGUCUAAUUUUCUCUCUCUCUGCAAGGCAGCAGGGAUGAGGCAAAGAAACCCAGAAAAAAAGUGAAUUCUUCUUUUGAGAAGUUGUAAGGGGUCAGGAGGCGGUCCUUAAUUAAAUAUCAGAGAUCAAGCCUGGAGAAAAUCAGCUGACCAGGACUCUCGGAAAAUCUGACCAGAUUUGGCCAACACCUGAGAAGGUUAAAAGAUUCAGAGCCAACGAAUUGCACUCCUUAAGGAGGACCGAGAUUAAGUAAAUAAAGGGGCCUCACUCUCAGUUCCCAGGCUAGGGGUUGAAUCAGAGCUUACAGCUGCCAGCCUGCGCCACAGCCACAGCAACUCUGGAUCCUUCACGCACUGAGCGAGGCCAGGGAUCAAACCUGCAUCCUCACGGAUACUAGUCAGAUUCAUUUCCGCUGCGCCACAGUGGGAACGCCCCAGAUCCUAUUUGUAAUGAAUACGCUUUAUUCUUUGUUCUUGGUUAUUUUAAUAAAAAGCUCUUUUAAUUUAUGUCAAGUACACCUAUGCCACUCGAAAAGCAUGCUGCAGUUACUAAUGCCUUUGGGCAACUAAGCAAUUCAAACCCAGCUGACUCUUUGGUGUAGUGUGUUCUAAGCAUGGGGAAGGAAUCUCAAAGGGCAGAAAUUCUCUCUAGGGCACUCGUGAUGUGAAUCUAUAAAGUUCU
rnacentral:lncRNA from 1 species